rnacentral:rRNA from 1 species
AGUGAACGCUGGCGGUAGGCCUAACACAUGCCAGUCGAACGGCAGCACAGUAAGAGCUUGCUCUUACGGGUGGCGAGUGGCGGACGGGUGAGGAAUACAUCGGAAUCUACUUUUUCGUGGGGGAUAACGUAGGGAAACUUACGCUAAUACCGCAUACGACCUACAGGUGAAAGCAGGGGAUCUUCGGACCUUGCGCGAUUGAAUGAGCCGAUGUCGGAUUAGCUAGUUGGCGGGGUAAAGGCCCACCAAGGCGACGAUCCGUAGCUGGUCUGAGAGGAUGAUCAGCCACACUGGAACUGAGACACGGUCCAGACUCCUACGGGAGGCAGCAGUGGGGAAUAUUGGACAAUGGGCGCAAGCCUGAUCCAGCCAUACCGCGUGGGUGAAGAAGGCCUUCGGGUUGUAAAGCCCUUUUGUUGGGAAAGAAAAGCAGCAGGUUAAUACCCCGCUGUUCUGACGGUACCCAAAGAAUAAGCACCGGCUAACUUCGUG